CAGCUCUGCUGUGGCCUAUGGCUUUUCAUUCCUAUGUGAUUGCUCCUCCAAACUCAUGUAGGGCUAAAAGCCAUGGGCUACAGUGAGGGGC
rnacentral:pre_miRNA from 14 species